UACGUAGGGGGCGAGCGUUGUCCGGAUUUAUUGGGCGUAAAGAGCUCGUAGGCGGUUCGGUAAGUCGGAUGUGAAAUCUCCACGCUCAACGUGGAGGGGCCAUUCGGUACUGCCGUGACUCGAGUCCGGUAGGGGAGUGUGGAAUUCCCGGUGUAGCGGUGAAAUGCGCAGAGAUCGGGAGGAACACCCGUAGCGAAGGCGGCACUCUGGGCCGGUACUGACGCUGAGGAGCGAAAGCGUGGGGAGCAAACAGG
rnacentral:misc_RNA from 1 species